rnacentral:rRNA from 1 species
GACGAGCCACACGAACGUUAUUCGGAAUUACUGGGCUUAAAGGGUGCGUAGCUGCGCGGAAAGUUGGGUGUGAAAUCCCUCGGCUCAACCGAGGAACUGCGCCCAAAACUGCCGUGCUCGAGGAAGAUAGAGGUAAGCGGAACUUACGGUGGAGCGGUGAAAUGCGUUGAUAUCGUAAGGAACACCUGUGGCGAAAGCGGCUUACUGGGUCUUUUCUGACGCUGAUGCACGAAAGCUAGGGGAGCAAACGGGAGUUAGAAACCC